UUUGUCACUAGAAGCAUUGCAAAUGUGGCUAUUGUGUCACAUAUGCAUCAACAGGCAGCAGAGAGGAGAGAUACUAUGUCUAAACUCAGUGUUCUGUCCUAUGAACAUCUAAACGAUUAAUAGCCUAGCAUU